ACCGCUCCCACUGGCAUCAGAGGUGAGCUGGGAGCACCAAACACCUCUGAAUUGCAGCCCAGGAGGGCAGAGUUUUCUCCAGUUUCUGUCCAGAAGGAACCUGGUCACCAUGACGUCCGCAAUCAUCCUGUUCGCCAGGACUAAUGGAGCACAGAUGUACUCUCAAGGGAGUGAGCGUGAACCAGAACCCUCAUCUCUGGAACACUUCCCAGGAAGAACCAUCUCCUCACCAUCACAUAUCCCAAAGUACCUAAGGAGAAGACAGAGCAGGAAAUUAAGCAGAGGAGUGAGUUCCUAGCAUUUUUGCUGUUUUAUCCCUUUAAGGUUCUCAAGCAGGAUUUAUGAUCAUGUCUUCUUCAGAAGAAAACAGUGUUGUGCUAACAGGUUGCAAGGUGUCUAAGACUGCUCUCCACGCUAGCUUGUAGGGCAUGGAGUGCAAAGGGACAAGCAGAACCUGGCUGUUGGGCAGAGCUGUGUACUAGUGCUUGUCCA